GCCCCGGGGAGGGGCUCGCGGGGGCCGAGGUCGAAGGGCCACCGGUUCGAACCCCGAGAAAGCCGGGAACGCCACACCGAGGAAGUGGAGAAGAGGGAGCGGGUACAACGCCGCCAGUCUGUGCCUGCUUGACUCCGACUCUGCUUUAAAAAGCUUUUCUGCAACUACAGGCAAACAAUAAAAAAAUUCUCUUCACAACGCACUUUUUUAAAAGCCGAAGUGCGCCACUUGCGUUUCAAAUUGAAACGCGCCGUCACUCAGCAUCUCACAAACCGGCUGAGCAGCCACGCGCACAAAUGACGAGGAACAAGCGUUUCAGAGCCUGAGCAGAUUUUUACAGAAUCCCUUCUUGCACUCGAUAUGACUCAUUCAGCCGCCGGAGGAACUGCCACCAGUCAGAGGUGUGCGAAACUAAAGCUGAGCCAUCGCCAUGGUCAACGAAUCGCUCUCGUACUCUUCCAUCUCCAGAGCAGGAGCUCCCACGUGCAACUGCAAAAAGUCUGAAUGUCUGCCAAGAGCCAGAACGAUCCAGUCCCUCAGCACUGGACUACUGGGAAAAGCAAGAAACACACCUGUUCUCACCAUCCCAGCACUCCCCGAACACCAGCACAUCCUCACUCCCCUUGCCUUGCAGCAGCACUCAUUCCAAGUUUGCCAUUCCCAAGAUUCAAGCAAUUUAGGAGCACGUUUUGCCUGUUUUGAGUAACGUUAUCAAAAACUAACUGGUUUGGAACAGCUUGUGUAUUUGAAAGAGCCACUUCUCAGAAGCCAAACUAAGACUAUUCCAAUGCACUCUGAAGAACCUGGGAAUGCUGUUUGUGCAACAGGCAUUUAAUUUGCAGAAAUUAAUUACAAAACAGUAA